rnacentral:rRNA from 1 species
ACAGAGGGGGCAAGCGUUGCUCGGAAUCACUGGGCGUAAAGGGUGCGUAGGCGGCCGCUUAAGUCCUGUGUGAAAGGCCCCGGCUUAACCGGGGAGGGUCAUGGGAAACUGGGCGGCUUGAGUGCCGGAGAGGGUGGCGGAAUUCCCGGUGUGGCGGUGAAAUGCGUAGAAAUCGGGAGGAACACCAGUGGCGAAGGCGGCCACCUGGACGGCAACUGACGCUGAGGCACGACAGCUGGGGGAGCAAACAGGA